AGGUAAACAGCGCUUCCUCUUCCUCCUCGCCGCCUCUUCCUUUUAUAGCGAUUUCUGGCCGCGCCGGGGCCGGGCCGCUGCUGCUGCCGUUUGCUGCUGCUGCUGUCGCUUGCUGCCGCGGCGGGGCCGCUCGCGAACCUGCGGCGGGGACGCGCGAGCCGCCGACCCGGAAGCGGCGUGUGUGCACCGCAGGCUCCCGCCGCCAGCUCGCCCGCCCGCCCGUCGGGCCGCCAGGAGAAGACGCCGAGGCCCGGGAUCUGAGAUCCUUUCAAGGCUACUGCAUUGGUAAGUAACAGAGCUGGCAUGGGACCCUAGCCACCUGGCUCUAACCCUGCACUGCUCACUCUCACUCUGAAGAAACAACGGAGUGGGUGGGGCAGCGAGCCAGAUGUGACUUUCACUUCAGUAGAAGCGUCCCCACCCCAUGGAAGUGACAGCACAUAACGCAUCAUCUCCUUGGCCCAUGAACGCUGAGCAUCUGUAGGCUGUUGAGUCAGACUAGGACUUUAAAUAACUAAUUUGGAAGUGAGGUGAUACUUCUACCUUCCUGCCCCAGGUAACAGUAGCAGCAAAGAGUUCUGAGCCAUAGACUCAUAGUGUGUAGACAUUACCCAAGUCACAGUAGCCCUACCAAGCUCAAAUUCACGGGAAGGAAGGACCUUGCCCCCAGUCGUUCUGUGAUGAAAGGCAGAGUCAAUAUUCACACCUGGCUUGCAAGCCGGUUAACCAGCGUAAUUUUUGCCCUCUGAGGGCGCCUGUCGUGGGGGAAAACCAUUCUCCUUGAGCUCAGGUGCCCCCUGGCUGGCAGGGCACGGGCAUUUUCUGUCUUCUUUUCCUGUGCCUCUUGGUUGCCUCACCACAUUCCACGUGGCUGGCCAGCUUUGUGGUGAUGCGUCAGCAUGGUAAGGGGCCCUCAGCACAGUGGCCCAUGGCAACCUCUGCUCUGGCGUGCUCUAAUGGUUUUAAUGUUUUGUUUUGUUUUUUUAAUGGAGUUAUGUGUGCAGUUAAACACAAAUCUUAUUCUUUACAGCUGGAUAAAUGUUUACUAUCCUACCCAAGUUAACUGCCCCGAAUCAGGAGGCUCAGUAUUCCCACCAUGCUAGGAUGCUCCCUAGAACUGCCUGAUGAGUCAGCACUUUAUCAUGUCUGUGUUUUCAGCUUAUACAGAUGCAGGCAUAGUUGUUCAACAAAGCAAACUGAAGGCAAAACCACCUUAAAUAGCAUAGGUGGUCAUAUCAUUUCACCCGGCAGGCCUCUGUCUCGGAGUGAGUAUGAUAGGAGGCCUGGAUCUGCUAUUCCUUCUGUUAGUCUUUGUUCUCAGUGCCUUUUAAAAUUUGAGCAUCUCAUGCCAUCAAGUGUCUCCUGUAUUUAUAGACUGUAAUUAUCACACAGCAUGCCCCCUACAUCCAAACCAUCUCUUCCAUAUGGUGCUUAGCUUAAGACAGUCAGUCCAGUGCUAAAAGAAAGACGAUGUUGUAUGUCAUAAAAGACAGUCGGCCAGUCUUCAGUGUGAGGCCAUAUGGGAUUUUCAAACCAUUUUGGAGUUUUCAGUUUUUAUAUUACAUUCUGAUGUUAGAGGCUAAACCUGGAGUGAGAUGCAUUUUAUAGAAAUCUUACAUUUAUUAUUGAGUGGGGAGGGGACAGUGUCACGGGGACAAAGUUUGGAGCCUGUUCUCUCCGUUGUCCUUUAUGUGGGUUCUAGGGACUGAGCUCGGGUCACAGGGCUCGUGUGGAAAGUGCCAUUAUUUACUAAGCUCGGUGGACAGCCUGUAAGCUGGAAUUUUAAUACCGCUAGGACUGAAGCGUGAAUGAGUGACUGCAUUGGGUUCAGUGACCUGGAAGUUUUUGCUGAGAUGAUACACCGAGCUGAUUUGCACAAAUACUUCCCAGUACAAAUGUGUGGAGUUGAUGGAAAUAAGAACAUUGGGUCUUGGGGAGUCUAUAACAAAACAUUCUAGAAUCAACCAGAAAUUUAGAGAGACAUAUGAGCCAGUGGUUAUGUGUGAACAAAAGCUCUGACACAUACGGGACUUUUGCAGGCAAAGGGUCCAGUGAGUGGUGUGUUAAUUGUACAGAGUCUAGAAGUGAGGCCUGAGAUAAGGUAGCAUUGAGUAUCCAAGAGCCUUAAAGGAAAUGUUUAUUUCUUUAUGACAGUGGGGCUAGAAAACUUCACUGUCUGGAAGUUUAACUAUGAGUUGAACGAGUGUUACCCACAAGAAAUAAAAACUUGGUACUGUAACACACACACACACACACACACACACACACACACACACACACACACAUCGAAUCUCUAUCUUGAUUACUUAUAACAUGCUGUCUUUCAACCUGAACAGUUAACAUGAGACUUAGUUUAACCAGUACCACAAACACAAACGCAGUCCUAGAGGAUAUUUCAUCAGUGCAUUCCCGACAGGAUUCGCAUAAGAAGGAAAAAGACUACUUGUGCAGAAGUCACAGAUAGACACUAUAGACUGACUACUCAGGACAAGCCAUUCCAAGAUGCUGGUAAAUUUAACCGUUCAGUAAAACCAAAAAAUAGUAUGUUUAAAAUGAUUGAGGACUAGUGAUGUCAAAAAGUAAAGCAAGGGGGAAGAAGAUCUAUAAACCAGCC
rnacentral:lncRNA from 1 species